rnacentral:rRNA from 1 species
AGGACGAACGCUGGCGGCGUGCUUAACACAUGCAAGUCGAGCGGUAAGGCCCUUUCGGGGGUACACGAGCGGCGAACGGGUGAGUAACACGUGAGUAAUCUGCCCUCCACUUGGGGAUAAGCUUCGGAAACGGGGUCUAAUACCUGAUACGACAACUUCCUGCAUGGGAUGGUUGUGGAAAGUUUUUUCGGUGGGGGAUGUGCUCGCGGCCUAUCAGCUUGUUGGUGGGGUAAUGGCCUACCAAGGCUUCGACGGGUAGCCGGCCUGAGAGGGUGACCGGCCACACUGGGACUGAGACACGGCCCAGACUCCUACGGGAGGCAGCAGUGGGGAAUAUUGGACAAUGGGCGGAAGCCUGAUCCAGCAACGCCGCGUGAGGGAUGACGGCCUCGGUUGUAACGUCUUUCAGUACCGACGAAGACGCCCGUUGUGGUGGUGACGGUAGGUACGAGAAGAAGACACCGGACCAACUACGUGCCAGCAGCCGC